CCACACAGCCGCCUGCAACAAGUAAAUGCUGAUAUUUGCAUUGGAGAUGUGGGGAGUUAACACUCUCCACAGGAGAUCUGUUCUUUUGCUUACAGCUUCUUACUUAGGCAACUGAGAAUUGAAGUUUUUGAAAAAUCAAAACAGAAAUUUAACUUAUUAUGUGAGGUAGGGACAAAGUAAAGUCAUCAAGUUCAGGAAGGGCAUAGCCCAGCCUUGCUGUAAGAGGGUGACUUCUGUGCCUGACCAUAGGCUGACACUGGUGACCACGGCCACCUGGGGCAGAGCUGUGAACCCAGAGAAGCAGCUGAACAGGCCAGCAGGCAACCUGCCAUGGGGUCCUGCUCCAAGAACCGGUCCUUCUUCUGGAUGACUGGGCUCCUGGUAUUCAUCAGCCUCCUCCUCAGUGUCUGCAGAACUGCAGCCAACACUUCUGGAGCACAUGGCUCUGCAGGGAAGGAUUCUGGAGCCCCCAUUCAUCUGAAGGGCAUCCGAGGAGGUUCUAUCUUGUUUAAUGCGAUCGAGAAGCUCAGAGUAGAUGUAGGCACCGAGUUGGAGGAGGUUCUAUGGGCUUUGGGCACUCUGACAGAUCAUACACAGUUGCUGCGAGUCCGCAGUGGGGCCGACUCUCCAACCUGGUUGAAACUCCAGGACAAGUUCAAGCAGAGGGUCCAUGUACCCAGCAUGUCAUCCCUGAGGAUUGAGAACCUGGCCCCUGAAGACAGUGGGCAGUACUUUGCCAACAUCACCUCUACUAAGGGAGAGGGGAUUUUCCAGGUUUUCUACCUCACUGUCUAUGAGCCUGUGCCUCACCCUGAGUUCCUGGCAAAGUCACUGUCUAUCACACCAGACCUGUGUAACGUCACCCUGGAGUGUAGGGCUCCAGGGGCCACAGAGGACCUGAAUGUGACUUGGGAGAGCAAGGGCCUCCUCAGAGAGCUGGAGCAGAGAGAAACACCAGGACCAGCCCCCAACCCCUGGACACUGGCUGUGAACCUGCCCCUGUGCCAGUGCAACACCCACCUCACCUGUGUGGUCAGCAACCAGGUGGAUCAGAAAGCUGCAGUCUUAGACCUUAGGAAACUCUGUGUCCAAGAAACAGGUUCACACAACAUGGUUAGACUGCUCCCAGGCAUCCUAGGGGCUGUUGUGGGUAUGCUGUUGGUCCUGGGAACUGGGCUGUAUCUUUUGAAGACAUGUGGGAAGAAGAAGAAGAAGAUGAUGAAUAUAGGAAGAGGCAAGUUGAAUUUCUCCUUCCAUACCCAGACACCUCCACUCCCUCACUAGAACCCCAGCUUCCUUUCUCCUGAAUUUUUCUUCCAGGGAGUGGACUCUGCAGAGGGAUGGUGGGUGUGACCUUGGCCUUGGGGUUCGUGGCAGUGGGGAGGGAUACAGGUUUCUAUGGCACAGAUUCAAGCUUUGAUUUUCUCAGGUAGAGAAUUGCAGGAGAACCAUGGGGUCGAUGAUGGUGUCAACCAAUAUGAAGAUCUCAGGCAGCAAGUGUUUCCGAAGGGCAAGGACAAGGGCAUCGGUGAACAAUAUCUGGAAAAAAGGGAGUCUCUCACUCCUAUCUACAGUGAGGUUCAUUAUCAUUGUCCAGGCCAGGCCAUUAAGAUCAUUCGAUUGGAGGAAGCAACAGGAUCUGGCACUCCCAGGACACCUGUACUCUGAGCCUGAAGCCUGCAGAUCCCCGCCUUUCCCAGUGCUGGUUCAGUUUCCGCUGCCCCUAGUCUGUGUUACUCUGAUCUCAUAGCUACAGUUCUACAGUGUACCCAUGGCCUGUUCGCAUUCUGUGACACCUCCCAAAGAUGCACUUACACUUGGGCAAAGAUUCUUCCCUUGUCAUUGACAUUGCUCCUGACCCCUCUCUUUCAGAAGCCUUCCCAAGGGGACCCUGUCUGAUUGCACAGGUGGCAAAUCCCCACCACCUCUGCCAUGUCACUUGUGUGUGUAAUUCUGAGGACACAAGCCCAGACAUGGGAACUGUGCAGAGGUGUUGACUGUGCUGCAGAGGAGGGACAUAGACCUGGCUUCUGGAUGCUGAGUUGGAGGAUAUCGUGGGUGGGUAGAAGCCCACAAAGGAACACGCCGAGGCUUCCUUUGCAGAUUUUGUGUAGGGCUCCCUUGCGGGUAUCAGGCAGUGCGUGUGUGCAUGCAGGUUGGUGGUGGAGGGGGGUGUCUAGUGCACAUUAUACAACUGAACCAAAGCCACCUUUCUUUUCUUCUGUGCUAAUCUGAACUUAAUCUUCAGCCUCAGCCUGUGGAUCCAAACUCAACUUCCUGUAGAGUGGAAAGAGAAAUUUUUAUCAUCUCAAAACCUUCCUAGCCUCAGUGUCUCAGAGAAUGACCCUAAGAGGCCACAGUUGGAGGCUGUCUUAGGAACACAGCCUCAGCUCUUUCCUUGGCCUAGUAUAAGGCACUUGGCUGUAAGAACAGAAGUGUGAUAUCCUUCCACACCCACUUGAUGAGGGCUACUUGGGCUCUGAUGGGUGAAGCUGUUGAGAAGGUCUGACUCAGCCCUCUCCAACCUCUUCUUAUUCUGACCCUUAAUACCCCAGUAGCCAUGCUGGCCCCAAACCCUAGGUCAUCCACUUCUUUGCUCACUUGCAUCCCUCUGCCUGACAUGAAAGUUCCUUCUCCCUGUUCCUCACCCUCACUCCCGCCUGUUGAAAUACUACUGUGCUUCUCAAAGCUCUUCCCAAGAUGCUUGUUCCAUGGAGCUCUCUGGAUCUUAAAGGUUUAGACAUGAUCUCUCCCACAACUGACUUUUCUGAACACCUUGGACACUAUGUACGGUCCCUGCCACAGUUUGUCCUGGGAUGGUCAUGAGUCUUCCUGCAGGACUAACCUGGGCUCUCUCAGGAGGAUGUGGGGCUGUGGGGUAAUAGGGCUGAGGAGACCAUUGGUGCAAAUGGUCUGGGCCACCUUGUUCCCAACCCAUGGGGUCAGCAGAGGGAGAUGCAGCACAGGGGCUACUGACAAACUCUCUGGUGUGGCUCUACCUGGAAACAGGGAUGGACACAAUGACCUCCCUUGACUAUGCGUGGCCUGAGGUCCUAAUUGGAGACUUCCUUACUCCCUCAUCCACCUCUUAUUGCGAACCUGGCCAUUCUUCCAUCAUGGUAUGUGGGUGUUUCUUUCCUCCUGAGGGGUCCUCAGCUUCUUGCAGCCUCUGCUUCUUAUUUGAGUCCCAGCUUUUAUGCAGAGAUGACCUAACUCUAGUACCAUGAGCUGCUGUGGCAUGUCUGGUGGCCUAGACCCUUGGGCCUCUUAGUUUCCCUCAUGGCUCAGGUGAGCUCAUUUCCUCAUUGCCACCCACAGAAAACAAAGAUCUGAACAGAGUCCCUGCUAAGAGAUGGAGCACUAGAAAAUAGUGCUAGGUGCCUGCUGGAUGGUGGGUGGGUGAGGCAGGAGGGAGAGGAUCCAUAGCAGGGCUUCAUUUCUGCCGUCUUUCCCUUUAGGCUGAGCUGAAGGCCGAGGGUGUGCCAGUCUCUUCACUGGCUUCCCAGGUGACUGGACAUUACUGGGUAUCAGUGCACAUUAACCCUGGGGCAGCAUAAGAUGUGAUCACCCAACUAACUGACCUUCCCACUGCACCAAAGGCAACAAAAAACCAAACCAAACAAACAAAAAAGAGGAACAAGGCUUUUGAGGCUGUUUUGAACCAGUUUUUGUCCCAG